rnacentral:tRNA from 1 species
AGCUCAGUUGGUAGAGCGCAACCUUGCCAAGGUUGAGGUCACGGGUUCGAACCCCGU